rnacentral:rRNA from 1 species
AGUGGGUACGAGCAGACUAGAGUGCGGUAGGGGAGAUUGGAAUUCCUGGUGUAGCGGUGGAAUGCGCAGAUAUCAGGAGGAACACCGAUGGCGAAGGCAGAUCUCUGGGCCGUAACUGACGCUGAGGAGCGAAAGGGUGGGGAGCAAACAGGCUUAGAUACCUGGUAGUCCACCCCGUAAACGUUGGGAACUAGUUGUGGGGUCCUUCCAGGAUUCCGUGACGCAGCUAACGCAUUAAGUUCCCCGCCUGGGGAGUACGGCCGCAAGGCUAAAACUCAAAGGAAUUGACGGGGACCCGCACAAGCGGCGGAGCAUGCGGAUUAAUUCGAUGCAACGCGAAGAACCUUACCAAGGCUUGACAUAACGAGAACGGGCCAGAAAUGGUCAACUCUUUGGACACUCGUAAACAGGUGGUGCAUGGUUGUCGUCAGCUCGUGUCGUGAGAUGUUGGGUUAAGUCCCGCAACGAGCGCAACCCUCGUUCUAUGUUGCCAGCACGUAAUGGUGGGAACUCAUGGGAUACUGCCGGGGUCAACUCGGAGGAAGGUGGGGAUGACGUCAAAUCAUCAUGCCCCUUAUGUCUUGGGCUUCACGCAUGCUACAAUGGCCGGUACAAAGGGCUGCAAUACCGCGAGGUGGAGCGAAUCCCAAAAAGCCGGUCCCAGUUCGGAUUGAGGUCUGCAACUCGACCUCAUGAAGUCGGAGUCGCUAGUAAUCGCAGAUCAGCACGCUGCGGUGAAUACGUUCCCGGGUCUUGUACACACCGCCCGUCAAGUCAUGAAAGUCGGUAACACCUGAAGCCGGUGGCCUAACCCUUGGGAGGGAGCCGUCGUAGGUGGGAUCGGUAAUUAGGACUAAGUCGUAACAAGGUAACCAAGGGCGAAUC